rnacentral:lncRNA from 1 species
CCUCAACUUAUCUGUUGAGACAGCUACAUUGUCCACUGGAGCCAUUAACUCACUGUUGGACAAUCUGGGAAACAUGUCCUUCACAGCCUGCAAUGCUUCCACCCAUGCUAUUCUGUCCUCUCUAGUUUCAGCCCUCAGGUGCAGCCUUUUUGUUCCAGUGAAAAUCGAAAAUCUCCGGUCAUCUGAUCUACUCUCGCGGAUGGAUGAGACCUAGCAAAGACUACUCAAUUGUUAAAUCUCAGCCCUCAGGUGCAGCCUCUUUGUUCCAGUGAAAAUCGAAAACCUCUUGUCAUCUGAUCUACUCUCACGGAUAGAUGAGACCUAGCAAAGACUACUCAAUUGUUAAAUAGAUAUGUAAUCACAAUAAAGAGGUUAGCAGUUCAGAGAAAGCGUCACAUCUACAACAAUUCAGCAAAGAACUAAUUCACCAAAAAAAAAGAAAAUAUC